AACGUACGCUGGCGGCACGCCUAACACAUGCAAGUCGAACGAAGUAGCAAUACUUAGUGGCAGACGGGUGAGUAACAUGUAGGUAUCUGCCCUUUGGCCUGGAAUAACACGAGGAAACUUGUGCUAAUACCGGAUAAGUCUUUACGGAGAAAGCUUUAUGCACCAUUGGAUGAGCCUGCACUUGAUUAGUUUGUUGGUGGGGUAAUGGCCUACCAAGACUGUGAUCAAUAGCUGAUUUGAGAGGAUGAUCAGCCACAUUGGGACUGAGACACGGCCCAAACUCCUACGGGAGGCAGCAGUGGGGAAUCUUGCACAAUGGAGGAAACUCUGAUGCAGCGAUGCCGCGUGAGCGAAGAAGGCCCUUGGGUUGUAAAGCUCUUUCGUCGGGGAAGAAAAUGACUGUACCCGAAUAAGAAGGUCCGGCUAACUUCGUGCCAGCAGCCGCGGUAAUACGAAGGGACCUAGCGUAGUUCGGAAUUACUGGGCUUAAAGAGUUCGUAGGUGGUUGAAAAAGUUAGUGGUGAAAUCCCAUAGCUUAACUCUGGAACUGCCAUUAAAACUUUUCAGCUAGAGUAUGAUAGAGGAAAGCAGAAUUUCUAGUGUAGAGGUGAAAUUCGUAGAUAUUAGAAAGAAUACCAAUUGCGAAGGCAGCUUUCUGGAUCAUUACUGACACUGAGGAACGAAAGCAUGGGUAGCGAAGAGGAUUAGAUACCCUCGUAGUCCAUGCCGUAAACGAUGUGUGUUAGACGUUGGAAAUUUAUUUUCAGUGUCGCAGGGAAACCGAUAAACACACCGCCUGGGGAGUACGACCGCAAGGUUAAAACUCAAAUGAAUUGACGGGGACCCGCACAAGUAGUGGAGCAUGUGGUUUAAUUCGAAGAUACGCGCAGAACCUUACCAACACUUGACAUGUUCGUCGCGACUCUAAGAGAUUAGAGUUUUCGGUUCGGCCGGACGAAACACAGGUGCUGCAUGGCUGUCGUCAGCUCGUGUCGUGAGAUGUUGGGUUAAGUCCCGCAACGAGCGCAACCCUCACUUUUAGUUGCCAUCAUUAAGUUGGGCACUCUGAAAGAACUGCCAGUGAUAAGCUGGAGGAAGGUGGGGAUGACGUCAAGUCCUCAUGGCCCUUACGUGUUGGGCUACACACGUGCUACAAUGGUAUCUACAACAGGAAGCAAGGCUGCGAAGUUAAGCAAAUCCCUAAAAGAUACCUCAGUUCGGAUUGCACUCUGCAACUCGAGUGCAUGAAGCUGGAAUUACUAGUAAUCGUGGAUCAGCGUGCCACGGUGAAUGCGUUCCCGGGUCU
rnacentral:rRNA from 1 species